CAAGUCGCACGAGAAAGGGGAGCAAUCCCUGAGUACAGUGGCGUACGGGUGAGUAACACGUGGAUCAUCUACCUUCUAGUGGGGAAUAACCAUGGGAAACCGUGGCUAAUACCGCAUAAGCUCGAGAGAGGAAAGCAGCAAUGCGCUGGAAGAGGAGUCCGCGGCCGAUUAGCUAGUUGGCAGGGUAAAAGCCUACCAAGGCAGAGAUCGGUAGCCGGCCUGAGAGGGCACACGGCCACACUGGCACUGAAACACGGGCCAGACUCCUACGGGAGGCAGCAGUGGGGAAUCUUGCACAAUGGGGGAAACCCUGAUGCAGCGACGCCGCGUGAGCGAUGAAGCCCUUCGGGGUGUAAAGCUCUUUCGGCAGGGAAGAUGAUGACGGUACCUGCAGAAGCAGCUGCGGCUAACUACGAGCCAGCAGCCGCGGUAAUACGUAGGCAGCGAGCGUUGUUCGGAGUUACUGGGCGUAAAGGGUGUGUAGGCGGUUGUUUAAGUUUGGUGUGAAAUCUCCCGGCUCAACUGGGAGGGUGCGCCGAAUACUGAAUGACUUGGAGUGCGGGAGAGGUGAGUGGAAUUCCUGGUGUAGCGGUGAAAUGCGUAGAUAUCAGGAGGAACACCGGUGGUGUAGACGGCUCACUGGACCGUAACUGACGCUGAGACACGAAAGCGUGGGUAGCAAACAGGAUUAGAUACCCUGGUAGUCCACGCCCUAAACGAUGCAUAUUUGGUGUGGGCAGUUCAUUCUGUCCGUGCCGGAGCUAACGCGUUAAAUAUGCCGCCUGGGGAGUACAGUCGCAAGGCUGAAACUCAAAGGA
rnacentral:rRNA from 1 species